rnacentral:rRNA from 1 species
CGUGGGUAACCUGCCCAAGAGACUGGGAUAACACCUGGAAACAGAUGCUAAUACCGGAUAACAACACUAGACGCAUGUCUAGAGUUUAAAAGAUGGUUCUGCUAUCACUCUUGGAUGGACCUGCGGUGCAUUAGCUAGUUGGUAAGGUAACGGCUUACCAAGGCAAUGAUGCAUAGCCGAGUUGAGAGACUGAUCGGCCACAUUGGGACUGAGACACGGUCCAAACUCCUACGGGAGGCAGCAGGC